rnacentral:rRNA from 1 species
GGAGGAAGGUGGGGACGACGUCAAGUCAUCAUGGCCCUUACGUGUAGGGCUACACACGUGCUACAAUGGCGCAUACAGAGUGCUGCGAACCUGCGAGGGUAAGCGAAUCACUUAAAGUGCGUCGUAGUCCGGAUUGGAGUCUGCAACUCGACUCCAUGAAGUCGGAAUCGCUAGUAAUCGCGUAUCAGAAUGACGCGGUGAAUACGUUCCCGGGCCUUGUACACACCGCCCGU